GACGAACGCGGGCGGCGUGCUUAACACAUGCAAGUCGAACGAAGAGCGAUGGAAGCUUGCUUCUAUCAAUUUUAGUGGCGAACGGGUGAGUAACGCGUAAUCAACCUGCCCUUCAGAGGGGGACAACAGUUGGAAACGACUGCUAAUACCGCAUACGAUCUAAUCUCGGCAUCGAGGAUAGAUGAAAGGUGGCCUCUACAUGUAAGCUAUCACUGAAGGAGGGGAUUGCGUCUGAUUAGCUAGUUGGAGGGGUAACGGCCCACCAAGGCGAUGAUCAGUAGCCGGUCUGAGAGGAUGAACGGCCACAUUGGGACUGAGACACGGCCCAGACUCCUACGGGAGGCAGCAGUGGGGAAUCUUCCGCAAUGGACGAAAGUCUGACGGAGCAACGCCGCGUGAGUGAUGACGGCCUUCGGGUUGUAAAGCUCUGUUAAUCGGGACGAAAGGCCUUC
rnacentral:rRNA from 1 species